GACAGAGGGUGCAAACGUUGUUCGGAAUUACUGGGCGUAAAGCGCGUGUAGGCGGCCCUGCAAGUCGGGUGUGAAAUCCCACGGCUCAACCGUGGAAGUGCAUUCGAAACUGCAGGGCUAGAGUCCUGGAGAGGAAGGUGGAAUGCUUGGUGUAGAGGUGAAAUUCGUAGAUAUCAAGCGGAACACCGGUGGCGAAGGCGGCCUUCUGGACAGUGACUGACGCUGAGACGCGAAAGCGUGGGGAGCAAACUGG
rnacentral:rRNA from 1 species